CCUACGGGUGGCAGCAGUGAGGAAUAUUGGUCAAUGGACGGAAGUCUGAACCAGCCAUGCCGCGUGCAGGAAGACGGCCCUAUGAGUUGUAAACUGCUUUUGUACAAGGGUAAACCUGAAUACGUGUAUUCAGCUGAAAGUACUGUACGAAUAAGGAUCGGCCAACUCCGUGCCCGCAGCCGCGGUAAUACGGAGGGUUCCAGCGUUUACCGGAUUUAUUGGGUUUAAAGGGUGGGUAGGCGGAAUGCUAAGGUAGAGGGGAAAUGGUCGGGAUUAACCAGGGAACUGCCGUUAAUACUGGUGAUCUAGAGAGUAGAUGCAGUAGGCGGAAUGUAUGGUGUAGCGGUGAAAUGCUUAGAGAUCAUGCAGAACACCGAUUGUGAAGGCAGCUUACCAAUCUAUAUCUGACGUUGAGGCACGAAAGCGUGGGGAGCAAACAGGAUUAGAUACCCCAGUAGUC
rnacentral:rRNA from 1 species